rnacentral:lncRNA from 1 species
AUGUGGGGGAGAGGAGCUCCUCGUGGAGACGGGGCCCCUGUACUGACAGCAAAGACACCCCGGGAACUGUUGGCAGCGGCCUCGCGUCUCACCUGGGCCCCCAGGGUGGUCUGCAGGAGGGGGUGCCUGGGACGCCGAAUGACACCGGAGCCUCCCCCAGCCGCCUGGAACCCGCUCCUGGACUCAGCCUGUGCCUCGCUGUGCCCUGCCUGGGAAGCUUGGUGGUGGCUUGGAACCCUGAAGAUCCCACACCCUGGACCCUUCCUCGCCCCAUCCCUGUGGCCCUUGCGAAUCAGAAGAGAGAAUACAAGUGUCAAGGAAAAUCCUCGCCGCGGGGCACCGUCAGCAGGGGCUGAGGGCUGCAGGCUGGGGGGUGGCCAUGCUGAGGCCCCACCCAAGACGGGUGGACAGAACCUGCCCAGAGACCCCCAAGGGGGUCCCUGCCAGCUGGGCUCACACCUGCCCACGGGUGGGCCUGGAGCAGGGGCGUUAUCCUUUCACAGUCGAGGACUCACGCUGGAAGGGGAGGCCCCAGCACCGGCCACGACCCACCUCCAGGCUCUUUCCCAGGCUCAUUCUGCAGACCAGGGCAGAGGACACGGCGGGCCCCAGGGAGGCCAGGGCCCACGGAUGCCCCUUCCCGGGCAGGCUUCCACCGUCCCCUCUGCAGCCACGGACAGGCGUUCUCUGUCAGGCACAGUCACAAAACUUCUAAGACUUAAUUAAAAUCAAUCUCUGAUUACUCAAAUGCCAUCGACUUGGGGCUCGACCGAUAGGGAAAAUACGGUCAUCAUUGUGGGAAACGUCGAUACGAGGGCAUCCACCAUCCAUCUCCGUGCAGAGCUGGCUGGGGCCCUCCUGCGCUCCAGCCCGGGUCCACCCGUUGCUGGCUCAGAAGUUCUGUCCAGUUUCUGAGACGGAUGCCUCCUGGGGUGGCUCCCCGGAGUCGGCGGCGGCCGUGGGGACCCCUGGCUGCGUCAUCUCACGGAGAAUCCAUGGCUCCCACUCUGUCAGCCCCGUGGCCUUGAUGGGAACCCUCUCACUCAAGCAGGUUUGGGGGCCUGGAGCUCACUGGACGGCUGCUGGCCAGUGACCUGCUGGGACACCCAGGGCUCUGUGCCCUUUGGGUCAAACCGCCAGGUUCAGCCUCCCCAGGGAAGUGAGGACGGAGAUCAGGGCGCAUCCACAGAUCCAUGAAGUCCAGGAGGGAGGAGGUGACCCUGUGCUGGGUGGGAGAAGCCAUCACAGACCCCUGAGCCUGUUCCCCGGGGGCCGAAGACAGCCCUGGCGAGGCCUCAAGGGCAGCCCACGGUGGAGAGGGACCCUGGGAGACAGCCAGGGUUCCGGGGGAGGAAACCACCUGAUCUGGUUUCUGUUUGUCCUUAGAGAAAAAAGUAUCAGCCCUCAGCUCUCCUGCCCUUAAAAUAAAAAGUCGAGUAAAGCACUUCCCA